GAUGAACGCUGGCGGCGUGCUUAACACAUGCAAGUCGAACGGUGAAGGCGGAGCUUGCUCUGCUGGAUCAGUGGCGAACGGGUGAGUAACACGUGAGCAAUCUGCCCCUGACUCUGGGAUAAGCGCUGGAAACGGCGUCUAAUACUGGAUACGAGCUGCGAAGGCAUCUUCAGCAGCUGGAAAGAAUUUCGGUCAGGGAUGAGCUCGCGGCCUAUCAGCUUGUUGGUGAGGUAAUGGCUCACCAAGGCGUCGACGGGUAGCCGGCCUGAGAGGGUGACCGGCCACACGGGGACUGAGACACGGCCCAGACUCCUACGGGAGGCAGCAGUGGGGAAUAUUGCACAAGGGGCGAAAGCCUGAGGCAGAAACGCCGGGUGAGGGACGACGGCCUUCGGGUUGUAAACCUCUUUUAGCAGGGAAGAAGCGAAAGUGACGGUACCGGCAGAAAAAGCGCCGGCUAACUACGU
rnacentral:rRNA from 1 species